GACGUAGGGCGCAAGCGUUGUCCGGAAUUAUUGGGCGUAAAGGGCUCGUAGGCGGUCCGUCACGUCGGGAGUGAAAACUCGGGGCUCAACCCCGAGCCUGCUUCCGAUACGGGCGGACUAGAGGUAGGUAGGGGAGAACGGAAUUCCUGGUGUAGCGGUGGAAUGCGCAGAUAUCAGGAGGAACACCGGUGGCGAAGGCGGUUCUCUGGGCCUUACCUGACGCUGAGGAGCGAAAGCGUGGGGAGCGAACAGG
rnacentral:rRNA from 1 species